GUGAAUUUAUUGAUACUUCUCUUCCAUUAACUCUUGAGCCUAAUGUUAAACCUCACAAAGGUCGUCCAAUGGGUUCUAAAAAUAGAAAAGAAUCAAGCUCUACACAGCGUGGUCCUUCAAAGUUUGAAAUAGUGGAGAAGGCUCAGAAACGUGCUCGACGGGUGUGAUGAGCAUAAUGAUUUGCCAAAGAAACUUUUUGUUAAUAAUAGCUUAGAUGUGUAAAGAACACAUUAAGGUUGGAGUGCAUGGGUUUCAUAUCUUUUUGGUAAUAUUGACAUCUCCUUUUGAACACAAGAUUAAAGGCCAAACAUAGUGUAGGCAGAAUGUGAAAGCUUGUAAUGAUAUCUGAUGUAUUUUUUGGGGCAUGAGGCUACUAUUAUGGGGAUUAAAGUGUAUGUGGAUUGCUUACUAGUAUUUUGUACAAUUCAUGUAACUUAUGCAUAUAUGCUAUAUCAUUAGGUAAUCGUUUUAUUUUUAUUUA